GGCUGGGAGUGGAUGUAGAAUGAGGAGCUGCCAUUUAAUGGGUACAGAGUUGUAGUUUUGCAAGAUGAAAAAGUGUCGGAGAUUGGUUGCACAGCAACGUGAUAUACUUAACACUACUGAACUGUACAGUUAAAGGUGGGUAAGAUUAUAAAUUUUAUGUUGCAAGUAUUUUAUCACAAUUAAAAAAAAAUAGUACACAAAAGAUUGAAUUUCAGGUAAACAAAGAAUAAUUUUUGGCAUAAGUGUGUCCUGUGCAAUGUUUGGAACAUGUUUACACUUAAAAAGUUGUUUGUUAUGCAUCUGAAGUUCAAAUUUAACUGGGUGUCCUGUAUUUUACCAGGGAAUCUCAGUUUGGAUACACACUCUGAAAUCCAAUGCUUCCUUUUUGCCCUGGCUGACAGGAAGCCUCAAUGCCUGGUUGCAGGAAGCAGUUUAUCUCAGGAGCAGAAACAGGCGAUGGAAAAGAGGCUCCUGAUGAAUCUUGAAGCACCAUGCAGUUCCAGUGACUGGCACUUUGUCACCCCUUAGCAGGAGGCACCCGCCACUUUCUGCUCAAAACGCCACCAUUAUUGAGGGAGGUGAACAAAGCAGGAGCAGCCACUGUGAACCCAGAGGUGGAAGCUGCAUGUUGAGGAUGGCCAAACUAUCCUGCCAGCCCUGGACUGCUUCCCUCUGGAUUAUUAUAUGAAAGGAGACCACAUUUUCAUCUUAAGUCACUUAAUUUGGCGAUUCUUUGUUACAGCAGCUGAACCUGUACCCUGCUUGAUUAAUUACUAGUCUUUUAAGAAGGGCUGACCCACCUGCUAUUCUUUCUGGCUCUCAAAUAUGUUACCAACAUGCAAACAUGAACUUUUUGCUCCUUAUUGAUCUAUUUUUGCUCAGGGUCUUUAUCAAUCAGUCUUUAAAUUAUUGGCUCAGUGUUGCUGUCCUCAAUUUCUCUCCCUGGAAUCUUUGGACCUUCUCUUUCAGAAUGCUCCCCUUGGUUUUCUUCUAGGAAUUAUGGCUUAGCCAAUAUGACCAAUCUGUGAGCCAUUGCCUUGAAUAGAAAAUCCCUAGGAAAUAACUCAGAAGCCAGGCAUUUGGCUAGGCUGGGUGAUCUCCAUUCUUUUUACCCCAAGGAAUGGCAUGGAGGGAAUUAGCUGAAUGAACUAAUGAAUGACUGGAGUGUAGCAAUCAAUUCCAGUCAUCCAAAAUUAUUUCUAAAUGCCAGGGUUUUCCUCUUUCCACAUCCCAACUGAUUCAAGACUCUAAAUGUUUUUCCUAUGAUGAGUCAGUUUCAUGAGACCCAGUUUAUGGUUGAGGAACUUGAGGGAGAGCAAAGCAAAGUGGUAAAUAUAAUUAACUAGGGGGCAAGAAAUUACAUCUAGUCUUCGUAGCACGCUGGAUCACACAGGUGUUUACCGACUCAUGCUGCCUCUCUCUGAGCAAAUCUCCAUCUAAUGUGCCGGGAGAGCAGGCAUAUGGGCUGAGUAAUUAUAAAUGCCUUUCAGAAGUACGGUGCUUAAAAUAAUUUCCUCUUAUAGUUUUUCAUAACACCGGGUGUUUGUCUUUUUAAUUCUUGCAGAAGGCAGUGAGGGCUAAGAUCACAAAUGUUUUCAGAAGAAUGAGCCUGCAACAGCAUCCUACUUUGCUGGCAGGUAAGAGCCCCAAUCGCUCACCUUGAGUGGGAAGAAAAGGGCAUUACAUUGAUCCGGCCUCAAGGCAAGAGCCCGUCUGGCCUGUGCCCGUGGACAGAGAAUGGGAAUAGAACAUUCUGUCUCUUGUGGCCUGAUAGCUGCUGGAGAAAAGGAUUCACCAUGGUGAAUACAACUCUCUUUUUCAGGCAGAAUAAAUGAAGUGUAACUAGAAUUGAGGCUUCUCUUCUCACUGCUUAGCAUCUUUAAUCUACUAGCCAGCAAGAUGUCUGAGGAGCAGAAAAUAUAAUUUUGUCCAAUUUUACUGAACUACAGUCUUUCCUCAUC